AUUUUAUACUGAACUUCAGACUGGUAAUAUGGUUAAAAAAUGCUCCCCUGCCUCCAGAAUUCAUUAAUUCCAUGCCUUAACCAAUCUCCCACCCACCCAAAUGUAAAACACCUUUAGGCUUCAAUAUGAAGGAGGAGCUGCCAUUUGUAUUUGUUCCCUCAGCGCAGUUGUACAAAGGUAGAUUCUUCCUAUUUUAAUUUUGUAGGUGUUUUUUCACUUUUGGCCUGUUUGCUAAACCUCAGUUUCUUAAUUUGUUUUCACUGCCCAUAUGUGCAGGUGUGUCAGUGCCACUACCUAAUAAUUUUUGAAGCAGAUAAUUAAUUCCAGAUGAGUAAUUCCAAUUUAAUUUGAUAUAAAGGGAAAGUGUCUCAGAGAUAUUAAAUUCCUAACAGUACUGCAGAAGAACAAAGAACCAAACAAACCUGAGUAGUAUUCUUAUACAAGGAAAGACAGAGAAAGAGGUAGUCCCUACCUAUUCUAUCUAGCAAUACAUGCCUGGCCAUCAAAAUGUGUUUCCACUAGCUAAACAUCACAGUCCUAACCCUCAGCCAGAUAUAGUAUGCAUUACUUUUUAUCUUUAUACUUUACGGAAUUUAUGGUAAUAAAUGAAGCAAGAAUACUGUAAAGGACAGGGGUGGAGCUGGAGGCCAGAUUUAGCUGCAGGUAUAGGCAAAGGUAUUAAAGAUAGCAAAAUAGCCCUUGCAUAGUUACUUAGUUUACCUGUGUUAAUAUGGAAAUCCAGAAUAAAUGCAACUGCUAACAUAGGACCUAUUUAAGGAGUGACAGCUUCUAUUGGUGAGAAGACAGCCUUUCCUUUGAUUGCAUCAAGAGUAAGGAAUGUAUGUAGGACUGUCCCCCUCCAUUUGUGUUGCAGCCCUAUGACCUUCAUCUCAUUUCCUUCAUGUUGUUGGAUUGUGUCAAGUGCUCAUCUGUACAGCAAAAACAGCAAAUCUGUAUUGGCCUACUCUGCAUGGAAGGUUUGGUCUAACUCAGUGUCCAUUGAGAGAAAUUCAUUGAUGGUAAUAUUUAGAGGGUGGGAAAAGAAGAAGAAGAAGAAGAAGAAGAAGAAGAAGAAGAAGAAGAAGAAGAAGAAGAAGAAGAAAAAAAGUGAUAAUCCUUAAAUUAUAAUUGAAACAGGUUAAUGUUUCAAUUAUUAAUUUUCAUUGUGAUCAGGGUCACAUGGCACAGUAAGCAUAUUUUACCAUAUGCUUUGGAAAUGCAAUGUCAUGAAUCAUAUUUCUAAAAGAACUGGAAUAUGUGCUGAUCUUGAAAAAGACUUAAAAUUAAGUAUAGCUAAACAUUUGAGUACUCAGCGUGUUUCUUCAGAUAAGAAGUUUAACAUGAAGUCCAGACACAUAUUCUGGGUGAUAUCAAACUUUUAGAAGGUGAUAUUUUUCCUGUAAAUAUCAUCAGUGAAAGUUAUUAUCCUGCUUAUGUAGAAGAAAAGUGAUAAAAGUUGAAAGUGGUCAGAAAAGAACUUUAACAAUGCUGAGUUUUGCUUUCAGUGAGAUUCAAUAUUUUAUCCCAGAUGAGAUGAAGAGAUGGCAAGUUCAUUUUCCAUAAGUAUCUAUAGAGUGAAGAUAUCAUUGAAAACAGAAAGAAUUUUGAUGAAACUGAUCUAGGUCUAAAAAGCAAAGCUGAAGCUGAACAAACUCAAA
ensembl:lncRNA